UGAGAGAGGCUCUUAAAGAAUUCUCUGUUAAUAUUUGCUUUGUCAUUUCAGAAAGCCUUUAGCUAGGCCUGAUCAGACAGUUAUUUCUGGCUGGGUACAAAUUCCUCUUUUUUUUUUUUUUUUUNNNNNNNNNNUUUUUUUUUUUUUUCUUCAAGACGGAGUUUCACUCUUAUUGCCCAGGCUGGAGUGCAAUGGCGUGAUCUCAGC
rnacentral:lncRNA from 1 species